UAUUUCAUCUGCUGCUACGUUCUAAGUUCAAAUUCUGCCGAGUUUGACUUUGCCUUUCAUCCCUUUGGGGUCAAUAAAAUAAGUACCAGUUACACACUGGGGUCGAUGUAAUCGACUAUCCCCCCGCUUCAAAUUUUCAGGCCAUGUACCUAUAAUAGAAAGGAUUACAAAGGCGGCGAGCUGGCAGAAAUG